UACGUAGGCAGCAAGCGUUGUUCGGAGUUACUGGGCGUAAAGGGUGCGUAGGCGGCUUCUUAAGUCUGGUGUGAAAUCUCCCGGCUCAACUGGGAGGGUGCGCCGGAUACUGAGGGGCUAGAGUGUGGGAGAGGAAAGUGGAAUUCCUGGUGUAGCGGUGAAAUGCGCAGAUAUCAGGAGGAACACCAAUUGCGAAGGCAGCUCGCUGGGACGUUACUGACGCUGAGACGCGAAAGCGUGGGGAGCAAACAGG
rnacentral:rRNA from 1 species